GACGAACGCUGGCGGCGUGCCUAACACAUGCAAGUCGAACGGAAAGGCCCUGCUUUUGUGGGGUGCUCGAGUGGCGAACGGGGGAGUAACACGUGAGUAACCUGUCCCUGACUUUGGGAUAACUUCAGGAAACUGGGGCUCAUACCGGAUAGGAGCUCCUGCUGCAUGGUGGGCGUUGGAAAGUUUCGGCGGUUGGGGAUGGACUAGCGGCUUAUCGGCUUGUUGGUGGGGUAGUGGCUGAGCAAGGCUUUGACGGGUAGCAGACCUGGGAGGGGAACCGGCCACGCUAGGCCUGGGAUACGGCCCAGCCCCGAAUGGGACGCAACGGAGGAGAGGAUUACACAGUAGGCGGGAGCCUGGUGUGACACCGCCGCGUGCGGGAAGACAGGCUUCGGGUUGUGAACCGAUUUCGCCUUAGCCGAGGCGAUAGUGACGGUAAUGGGUGAAGAAGCACCGGCUAACUACGUG
rnacentral:rRNA from 1 species